GGGAACUACGAGCCAAGCUUAAAACCCAAAGGACUUGACGGUACCCCAUAUCCCCCUAGAGGAGCCUGUCCUAUAAUCGAUAACCCCCGUUUAACCUCACCAUUUCUAGCAAUUCAGCCUGUAUACCUCCGUCGUCAGCUUACCGCGUGAGCGCCAGUGAGCUCAAUGUUCUUCCAACUAAACGUCAGGUCAAGGUGCAACAUAUGAAGUGGGAAGAGAUGGGCUACACUUUCUAAUAUAGACCAUACGAAAGACUAACUAUGAAACCUAGUCAGAAG
rnacentral:rRNA from 1 species